AUUGAACGCUGGCGGCAUGCCUUACACAUGCAAGUCGAACGGCAGCACGGGUGCUUGCACCUGGUGGCGAGUGGCGAACGGGUGAGUAAUACAUCGGAACGUACCUUAUCGUGGGGGAUAACGCAGCGAAAGCUGUGCUAACACCGCAUACGCCCUGAGGGGGAAAGCGGGGGAUCGCAAGACCUCGCGCGAUUAGAGCGGCCGAUGCCUGAUUAGCUUGUUGGUGGGGUAAAAGCCCACCAAGGCGACGAUCAGUAGCUGGUCUGAGAGGACGAUCAGCCACACUGGGACUGAGACACGGCCCAGACUCCUACGGGAGGCAGCAGUGGGGAAUUUUGGACAAUGGGGGCAACCCUGAUCCAGCAAUGCCGCGUGAGUGAAGAAGGCCUUCGGGUUGUAAAGCUCUUUUGUCAGGGAAGAAACACCGGCUCUAACACAGUCCGGGAAUGACGGUACCUGAAGAAUAAGCACCGGCUAACUACGUGCCAGCGGCCGCCGUAA
rnacentral:rRNA from 1 species